GAGUGAAGAAGGCCCUUGGGUUGUAAAGCUCUUUCGUCGGGGAAGAAAAUGACUGUACCCGAAUAAGAAGGUCCGGCUAACUUCGUGCCAGCAGCCGCGGUAAUACGAAGGGACCUAGCGUAGUUCGGAAUUACUGGGCUUAAAGAGUUCGUAGGUGGUUGAAAAAGUUGGUGGUGAAAUCCCAGAGCUUAACUCUGGAACUGCCAUCAAAACUUUUCAGCUAGAGUAUGAUAGAGGAAAGCAGAAUUUCUAGUGUAGAGGUGAAAUUCGUAGAUAUUAGAAAGAAUACCAAUUGCGAAGGCAGCUUUCUGGAUCAUUACUGACACUGAGGAACGAAAGCAUGGGUAGCGAAGAGGAUUAGAUACCCUCGUAGUCCAUGCCGUAAACGAUGUGUGUUAGACGUUGGAAAUUUAUUUUCAGUGUCGCAGCGA
rnacentral:rRNA from 1 species